AACGAACGCUGGCGGCAUGCCUAACACAUGCAAGUCGAACGAGCCCUUCGGGUCUAGUGGCGCACGGGUGCGUAACGCGUGGGAAUCUGCCCCUGGGUUCGGGAUAACAGUUGGAAACGACUGCUAAUACCGGAUGAUGUCUUCGGACCAAAGAUUUAUCGCCCAAGGAUGGGCCCGCGUAGGAUUAGCUUGUUGGUGAGGGAAGAGCUCACCAAGGCGACGUUCCUUAGCUGGUCUGAGAGGAUGAUCAGCCACACUGGGACUGAGACACGGCCCAGACUCCUACGGGAGGCAGCAGUGGGGAAUAUUGGACAAUGGGCGAAAGCCUGAUCCAGCAAUGCCGCGUGAGUGAUGAAGGCCUUAGGGUUGUAAAGCUCUUUUACCCGGGAUGAUAAUGACAGUACCGGGAGAAUAAGCCCCGGCUAACUCCGUGCCAGCAGCCGCAGUAA
rnacentral:rRNA from 1 species